rnacentral:rRNA from 1 species
UACGUAGGGUGCAAGCGUUGUCCGGAAUUAUUGGGCGUAAAGAGCUCGUAGGCGGUCUGUCGCGUCGGAUGUGAAAACCCAGGGCUCAACCCUGGGCCUGCAUUCGAUACGGGCAGACUAGAGUUCGGUAGGGGAGACUGGAAUUCCUGGUGUAGCGGUGAAAUGCGCAGAUAUCAGGAGGAACACCGGUGGCGAAGGCGGGUCUCUGGGCCGAAACUGACGCUGAGGAGCGAAAGCGAGGGGAGCAAACAGG